UGUACGGAGGCCACCAGGCUUGGCCAUCCUCCAUCCAGUUACUAGCAAUGGGAGCCGUCUCCAAAUGCUCCUCAAACUCGACAAUCAGGCCAUCUAACAAGUGGAUGCCAUAUGUGGUGGAGGACAACGGGUACUCAAAGAAAGAAUCCUGAUGCAUAAAGGUGUUUGGCACUCCAUCUCAUAGAAGUCGCUCGCAUCUUCAUAUGCCUCCUCAACAUCACAAAGGUCUGUCACACGAUUCCCCUCCGCAACUUGAAUUAACUGAGCUUCAACCCUUGCUCUAGACCUCUUUCUCCGUGUCCAGUAUGACUGUGUAUUGCUAGCCAAACUAAUGUAUAUUCUACUGUUUUAACUAAUAAUGCUAACAACUAACUAAACUACUUACUAGCUAA